rnacentral:lncRNA from 1 species
CUUGUUACAGACGUGUUCUAACGGUGCCUUUGAAGUGCCAGAAAAAAGUGAUUAGAGUCCUAAGCAGCAGAAACUUAAUGAGGUUAUUAGGCCUGUAGAUGUUGCGGGCAGUUAAUUGCCUACGUUCAAGUCUGGCACCCUAGUGGUUUUUUUGUUUGUUUGUUUUUUACUUGGUUUUGUUUUGCUAUGCAGUGUAGAGGCCGUGUACCUGUUUGAUGGUUUGAGUUGUGAAAGAAAAGGACGACUAGGGGCUUUUGCUGUUCAGACACAUAGAAAGAUGUGAAGACCAUAGCAUGAUUUGGUGACCCACAACCGACUUUUCUGGAUGGUCUCAUUGAACAUCAGUUUGAGCCAAGCUCCGGUUUUGUAAACUAACCAAAUCUCAAAAGAAUGAUAUAAAGAAUGAUCAACGUGAAUUUACUAUAGGAAUACAAACCUG